UCUAUAAGGUUCACGAGUCACUUUAUGCACACAAAGUGUGAAACGAAGGAAAAGUCGAAUCUCUGUUGUAUCGUCGAUGACUAUCGUUCGUGAAACUCAUCCAUCAACUUCCGUCUCAUUUUUUUUCUUUUUUUUUUUGUAGACGACAAAGGAGACACGAGACUUCAGGCGAUUAAAAAAAAAAGGCAAGAGAUGCAUCGUCGCUGAUCGCGAUCCUUGCAUGGAAAAUCUCGGCAGUACGAUCGAGAUACCGUGAAAUGUUCGUGCAAACAUUCGUAAUCCGUGAAAUAUCACGGCCGUUCUAAAACGAGCCACGCGUGGCGGCUGUUUGCAUCUAGAUUAUGUAUUCAUGGGAUUAUAGGAGCAUAGAGAGGGGUAACCGUGUCCUGCAACAACCCCUUCAUCGAUCAGAGAAAUCAUACCAGCGAAAGCUAUCGGCUGAAACGAACUAUCGUUGCAUCGAAAACAGUCUUUUUUUUUUUUUUUGUCUCGAGUGAAUAUAAAUUGAAAUGAGACAGGAAGAACUUCCAAAUUCUAUAUUUGUACAUUUUCUAUUGAACGUUGUACACGUUCACGCGUUUGUGAGAAAUUUACAGAUGUAUAAUAUAAUAUUUUUUGACAGACACUGUUACACAUAGCAUCUGUUUCAAACUCCAAUAAUUGUCUGACUUCAAUUAAGUGUUGAGCAUACCAAUCGUUUGCAUUGCGACAACGAAUUCAAUUCGUACCAACUGUUUGCACAAUGAUCAAUUGACUCAAUUUAAAAUAGUAUCUUUUAUAAUAUUUAACAGGUCGAAUUCAAUUCGUACCAACUGUUUGCACCAAUGAUCAAUUCACUCAAUACAUUUAAAAUAGUAUCUUUUAUAAUAUUUAACAGGUCGAAUUCAAUUCGUACCAACUGUUUGCACCAAUGAUCAAUUGACUCAAUACAUUUAAAAUAGUAUCUUUUAUAAUAUUUAACAGGCCGAACAAGUUUCUAUCCAGAUUUCACUUCUUUAAUUCCUUAUGAAAAAAGAUAAAACUGCAUGAAUAUUCGCAAAUCCAAGUAUUUCAAUGCUUCAGAGUGCUUCGAAAGAUCAAAUUUAAUAGAAUUCCUUGAUUUCAAGCUUCAAUCCAAACGAGCAUGUAUGCUUGAAAAUCAAUUUUAACAUGAUAUAAAUGACAUCCUUCGAUGUCCUCUCCCUUAGUGAAGUGAUGUCACUGAGAUGUUGUGCGAAUAUGAAUUCAGUAGGAAUUUCCACGCUUCGUUCUUUACUAAAUUGCCUUUGUUCUUAGGUAAUGUGCACUAAUGUUGCGACGGUGAGUCAGGUGCACUGUCCGACAGACAGAAGACGACGAGGACGAGGAAUCCUCCCACGUGAAAGGAAGACCGGCCUGUUCUUGUUGUGACGGAGAUAAGUUAAGCCCUCUUCUUGUCGCCACCUCGAGCGUCGAAAAUGCUGUUUUCUCACAAAACGCCGGCAACAAUACCAUCAAAGACGACGUGAACGACGUGGACGACAGGGCUGGCCCCGAGUAAGCGGAUUAUCCCUAACUGUAGAAAGCGAUACUCAAACACACCUACGCUCGGCGAUCGAUGAUUCGUGUAUACAUCGGCAUCCGCGUCUUUUAUUGUCAUCGAUCUUCAAAGCCGUUCCUCCUCUCUUUUCUUUUCCUUCAGAUGGAAAGAGCAACGUCU